AUGUAUAUUAAAAAUAUCAAAUGCGGAAGCGAAGUCAAAAUUCGAUUAACAUCCCUUACACUAAAACCAAAAACGUGCUCAAAAUAUAAAAGAUCAAACUAACUAAAAGAGAGAUUCGAAAGUAAACUAUGAAUAUGACUUUGGAGUCUUUAGGCGUCCCCUUCGUCGUCUUCUUGCGGAACGGGCUCGGGAACAAUGUCUUCCUGAUCUGAAAUGAUUAAAUAAGGAAUGAGCUACACUAGCCCAGUAAGGACAUCACGAUAUCUCACCGUCACGGAGAUAAAGGUGGGUAGAAAACACAAAAAGACCAAUGGAGCAUAAUUUACAAUAAACUCAUUUAUCAGUAAUAAAACCUUUUACCAUUCACUUACCUCGGUGAAAUUCAUAAAACAAUAUACGAAAGCAAUAACAUUAUCAUAAUCAUGAAAUCAUAUAAACUGUGUAACAUAAUACUCAUCACGCCCUUGCAAUUCAAUCAUUUCACAAUUACUUUUCCUCAUUCACCAGCCUACUAGUAUCCAUGGGGAUCCAUAGGGGUCCCGCUACCCGUUACCCUUAAUACUUGUAAUCAGAUUCCAGGGUCGUCCCCAUACCCCAUCCGGUAUGGGCGCCAAAACUGUAAACCUCAAUACCCCGUCCGGUAUGAGGGUGAAACGGGCCGUCCCCAUACCCCGUCCGGUAUGGGCGCCAAAACACAUAAGAUCCCCAUACCCCGUCCGGUAUGAGAGACCACAAUCCCGGUAGGGUCCCCUACGGACCCGGUCCAUCCACCAUCUCCCAGGAUAUCUAGUCAGGCUGACCCCAUUACACAAUUAUCAAUUUAUACAAUCUUCCAUUCUUCUUUC
rnacentral:lncRNA from 1 species